rnacentral:lncRNA from 1 species
CUUGUCAAAGACAGCUGGUUAUGCUCAGGUCUGUGCUGCAGGGGACAUCUUGCAGAUUCAGGUCUUGCAAGUUAGUUAAUUCCUGGCUUCUGGAACAUCAGGUAAUGGUCACAGCCAGAGGCAGGAUUCCAAAACCAUUAGGCCACGGGUCUCAUCCAGCAUGGAAAAAAGUAAUAUUUGGACCACUCACCCCGUCUCACAGCACGCUUGUCUGGUAUUAAAAGUGCGGCGGUGAAGAACAUACUGUAAUCGCUCACUCACGGAAGCUUGCCCAGGAAGUACUUUAAGAAACACACCGUCACCAUGGACUUCGAUCUCCAGUCAGAAAAACAAUAACUUAAAUGUAUAUUGUUUAGUGUCUGCUCCUGUUUUUACUACUGACAGUGGUAUAAAUAAAAAGACAGAUAACAGAAUCUCUUAUCCAUAGGGAAUUUCUUCCUUUAGGAAUUACGAGCCACACCUGCAGCAGUUCCUGUAAACAGAAACAGAGACAGGUAAAGAACAAAUCUCCACUUUUGACUUCUCCCUUUAAAAUUUGAAUAAGGAACCAUUAGUUCUGUUGUCAGUGCCCAUGUGUUGUGGUGUGUUGAACAAAAGAAAAAAACCUCGCCACUUAAACAGGGAUUUUAACCUUUCCACCUCAGCCUCUUAUAUUUUCUUUGCUUCUACUCAGAGCAUUUAGGUAAAUUAGGAUGAGAUCCCUCCAUAAAAAUGCAAGGGGAUCAGUUAAACUUUCAUCUGUAAUUUAUUCAUGAAGGAGCGGGGUCUUGCCUGCCCAGCCGUGCAUCAUUGUGUCAGAAUGACUUUCCCUCUUGGUGAGAAGGGAGAUGGAAAGACUGGAAAUCGGAGCUCCGGCUUUCCUAGUAAUUGCUCUUCAAAUAAAAAUGAAAGUACCUUCUUGGGUGGUUAAGUGAAUAUGAGCAAAAAGUUCUAGAAGUGAGAAUCAGAGACAAAUUAACAUUUAAAC